AACGGUGGGUACUAGGUGUGGGGUCCAUUCCACGGGUUCCGCGCCGUAGCUAACGCUUUAAGUACCCCGCCUGGGGAGUACGGCCGCAAGGCUAAAACUCAAAGGAAUUGACGGGGCCCCGCACAAGCGGCGGAGCAUGCGGAUUAAUUCGAUGCAACGCGUAGAACCUUACCUGGGUUUGACAUGGAUCGGGAGUGCUCAGAGAUGGGUGUGCCUCUUUUGGGGUCGGUUCACAGGUGGUGCAUGGCUGUCGUCAGCUCGUGUCGUGAGAUGUUGGGUUAAGUCCCGCAACGAGCGCAACCCUUGUUCACUGUUGCCAGCACGUUAUGGUGGGGACUCAGUGGAGACCGCCGGGGUCAACUCGGAGGAAGGUGGGGAUGACGUCAAGUCAUCAUGCCCCUUAUGUCCAGGGCUUCACGCAUGCUACAAUGGCUGGUACAGAGAGUGGCGAGCCUGUGAGGGUGAGCGAAUCUCGGAAAGCCGGUCUCAGUUCGGAUUGGGGUCUGCAACUCGACCUCAUGAAGUCGGAGUCGCUAGUAAUCGCAGAUCAG
rnacentral:rRNA from 1 species